rnacentral:rRNA from 1 species
UACGGAAGGCAGCAGGGGGAAGUAUUGCACAAUGGGCGCAAGCCUGAUGCAGCCAUGCCGCGUGUAUGAAGAAGGCCUUCGGGUUGUAAAGUACUUUCAGUCGUGAGGAAGGUGUUAAGGUUAAUAACCUUAGCAAUUGACGUUAGCGACAGAAGAAGCACCGGCUAACUCCGUGCCAGCAGCCGCGGUAAUACGGAGGGUGCGAGCGUUAAUCGGAAUUACUGGGCGUAAAGGGCACGCAGGCGGUUAAUUAAGUUGGAUGUGAAAUCCCCGGGCUUAACCUGGGAAUGGCAUUCAAGACUGGUUAGCUAGAGUCUUGUAGAGGGGGUAGAAUUCCAUGUGUAGCGGUGAAAUGCGUAGAGAUGUGGAGGAAUACCGGUGGCGAAGGCGGCCCCUGGACAAAGACUGACGCUCAUGUGCGAAAGCGUGGGGAGCAAAC